AGUGAACGCUGGCGGCGUGCUUAACACAUGCAAGUCGAGCGGGGUGAUGGUGCUUGCACUAUCACUUAGCGGCGGACGGGUGAGUAAUGCUUAGGAAUCUGCCUAUUAGUGGGGGACAACAUCUCGAAAGGGAUGCUAAUACCGCAUACGUCCUACGGGAGAAAGCAGGGGAUCACUUGUGACCUUGCGCUAAUAGAUGAGCCUAAGUCGGAUUAGCUAGUUGGUGGGGUAAAGGCCUACCAAGGCGACGAUCUGUAGCGGGUCUGAGAGGAUGAUCCGCCACACUGGGACUGAGACACGGCCCAGACUCCUACGGGAGGCAGCAGUGGGGAAUAUUGGACAAUGGGGGGAACCCUGAUCCAGCCAUGCCGCGUGUGUGAAGAAGGCCUUAUGGUUGUAAAGCACUUUAAGCGAGGAGGAGGCUCUUUUGGUUAAUACCCAAGAUGAGUGGACGUUACUCGCAGAAUAAGCACCGGCUAACUCUGUGCCAGCCGCCGCGGUAA
rnacentral:rRNA from 1 species